GGGGUCGCUUCGGCAGCACAUAUACUAAAAUUGGAACGAUAAAGAGAAAAUUAGCAUGGCCCCUGUGCUUGAAAUCUUAAAGUUGUAAGAGAAACAAAUGACA
ensembl:snRNA U6 U6 spliceosomal RNA